rnacentral:rRNA from 1 species
CCAGACUCCUACGGGAGGCAGCAGUGGGGGAUAUUGCACAAUGGGGGGAACCCUGAUGCAGCGACGCCGCGUGGGUGAAGAAGCGCCUCGGCGCGUAAAGCCCUGUCAGCAGGGAAGAAAAUGACGGUACCUGAAGAAGAAGCCCCGGCUAACUACGUGCCAGCAGCCGCGGUAAUACGUAGGGGGCAAGCGUUAUCCGGAUUUACUGGGUGUAAAGGGGGCGCAGACGGCGAUGCAAGCCAGGAGUGAAAGCCCGGGGCUCAACCGCGGGACUGCUUUUGAAACUGUGUAGCUAGAGUGCAGGAGAGGUAAGUGGAAUUCCUAGUGUAGCGGUGAAAUGCGUAGAUAUUAGGAGGAACACCAGUGGCGAAGGCGGCCUGCUGGACGACAACUGACGGUGAGGCGCGAAAGCGUGGGGAGCAAACAGGAUUAGAUACCCGGGUA